UACGUAGGGGGCUAGCGUUGUCCGGAUUUAUUGGGCGUAAAGAGCGUGUAGGCGGCCAGGUAGGUCUGCUGUGAAAACUCGAGGCUCAACCUCGAGACGUCGGCGGAAACCAUCUGGCUAGAGUCCGGAAGAGGAGAGUGGAAUUCCUGGUGUAGCGGUGAAAUGCGCAGAUAUCGCUUGGAACGCCGAAGGUGAAAACAGACUGCUGGGGUUGCGCCGACGCUGAGACACGAAAGCCAGGGGAGCAAACGGG
rnacentral:rRNA from 1 species